rnacentral:rRNA from 1 species
GUGCCAGCCGCCGCGGUAAUACGUAGGCAGCAAGCGUUGUUCGGAGUUACUGGGCGUAAAGGGUGUGUAGGCGGUUGUUUAAGUUUGGUGUGAAAUCUCCCGGCUCAACUGGGAGGGUGCGCCGAAUACUGAAUGACUCGAGUGCGGGAGAGGAGAGUGGAAUUCCUGGUGUAGCGGUGAAAUGCGUAGAUAUCAGGAGGAACACCGGCGGUGUAGACGGCUCUCUGGACCGCGACUGACGCUGAGACACGAAAGCGUGGGUAGCAAACAGGAUUAGAAACCCGCGUAGUCC